UACGUAGGGUGCAGGCGUUAAUCGGAAUUACUGGGCGUAAAGCGUGCGCAGGCGGUUUCUUAAGUCAGAUGUGAAAGCCCCGGGCUUAACCUGGGAACUGCGUUUGAAACUGGGAGACUUGAGUGUGGCAGAGGGGGGUGGAAUUCCACGUGUAGCAGUGAAAUGCGUAGAUAUGUGGAGGAACACCGAUGGCGAAGGCAGCCCCCUGGGUCAACACUGACGCUCAUGCACGAAAGCCAGGGGAGCGAACGGG
rnacentral:rRNA from 1 species